GGGCCGGCCGAGCGGCGGGGAGAGGCGGCAGCCAGCGGCCAGGCGGGGGAGGGGGCUCCGCGCUCCGCUCCCCCCGCGGGCAGGCACCGCCCGCCCCUCCCCGGUGCCUUCCCACACCCGGGCCGCGCCGAGCGGGAGGCCCCCGGGGGCUGCUGGUGGCGGGAGGGCGGGGGGUCCCUCCGCGCUGCCCUCAUGGCUGAGCCGGGGGUCGCUGCUGCCCGUGUCCCCCUCCGUGGCUGACGAGGGGGGAGCCGCGGCCGGAGCGCGCCGCCCCUGCGCCUCGCCUGCCCCCGCAUCACCGCGGGUUGGGGUUUGCGAGCUCGGGUACAGCCGUGCGGGCCCAUCCCAGGCCGGUACCUCAGAGCCGGGAGCCGUCAGGGCACGGGAAGUGAGGUGGGGGUUUUGUUUUGUCCCAGGCUCGUUUGGGGUGUCUUCAUUCUGCAGCCCAUUUUUUUUGCAGGAGGCGUGGGGUCCCAGGAAACACCCCGAAGCGUGGUCAGAGUCCAACCGGCUACACUCCCAGAGAACCUUGGCCUGCCACAGUUAGUCUAAACAAGCAACAUAAAACAAUCUGUGAAAAGAAAACCAGCCAUAAUCACGUUUCCAGCCAACACUCUGCUGACCCACGAUACAGGAAAAAUGCAGAGGAUUAGGAACGCUUUCCCUGGUUGCUCAGGCAACAGCAAGACAUGGGAAUAUGAAAAGCUGUUGCGAGCGUGAAGGGACAUGUCUUUGGGCCCUCCUCCCUCCGCCUCCACAUUGGCAGAGGUGAGGCAUCAGGUUUCCUGACACGCCUCGGUGCUGUACAGGUGCCUCUGGGCUCUGCUGCGGGAGGGGAGCAGCCGGCUCCGCUCGGGCACGCCUCUGGCAGCCCCUGUCAUGCACGGCUCCCGCUCUGCUGCUCCAUCAGCCCAGAAAUAUCCUCACGGGGCUCGGCAGGGGCUGUGAAAUCCCUCCUCCAAACAAGGGGAUGAGUAAGGCCUGGCCGAGCCGGGGAAUCCGAGGGACGAGCCGCAGACACACCGCGUCAGGCACGCAGGGGAUCCUCUCGAAGCCGACGGACAGCUCGUGACAAAGGACACCACGGGAUCACAGCGAUGGCGAUUUUCUCCCCUGCCCGGCUUCCCAGCAGCGUGGGGAAGUGCUGGAAGUCGGCUGAGGCUCUGCAAGUGACUGCGAGGGGUUCCAGGAGCAGCUGUGGGACGGGAACAGCCCCAGCACGGUUUGUGCCCCGGGCUCUCAGCCCUUCCUGGCUCCUCUCGGACAAAGCACAGCCCGUGCUCUCCGCCGUGUCUGUGCCCCACCAGCCCAGCAGGACCAUUCCUGGUGAGCAGAGAGCACCUCAACAUUUCUCCCCAGCACCAGGAGGCUCAGGUGGGGCUCCCACACAGGAGGUGCAUCCUCCCCGCUCCCCAAAGGAAGUGACUAAGCCGAGCCUUACCGAGCCAGCCUAGCUGCUUGCAGUGUUCCACCCCAGCAGCCCUGCACCCUGCCCAGAGCCUCUGCUCCUUCCAUACAGGGCACCUGCAAAGGUGUCCCUGCAGGGAAAGCACAACUGGGGGCAGGGAAAAUUCACUGUCCCUGCUUUGUGUGCAACCACUGCACUGGCCCUUAUGCUCUGCAGGCAGCCCAGCAGAGCCUGCUGUGCACAAACACAAACAGGGACAGGGCACCAUGGCAGAGUCUGUGUAAUCAGCCCUGGCUGCAGCAGCACAGCCCGGAAAUAAUCCACAGCUUGGCUGGGUCUAUAAAAAAACUCUUGCUCACACUGUGAGCAAGAGGUGUCACAGCAAAAGCUCCUGGUCCUUAAGCAAACAUGUAACUCCUGGGUCAUUUGAUGAACACAGCCCUUGCUCAGCUGCUGCUGCACACACAGGCAAUCAGCACCCAAUUAGGGAGCCCUGAAUAGCCGGGGCAGGUCUGGGUGUACUGAGAUGAGUUAACUCCAGUGACCAAAUCAAACAGGAAACUUCAGCUUGGUGGAAAAAGGGACAAGAAGCCCCAUGGCAGCAGAGUCAGCCUCCAGUCACCUUGUUCCCUCCCAGCCAUCGCACCCAGGAUCCCCCACAGCACAGCCGAGAAAUUCACACCAUGCCAAAAAC